GGAUUAGAUACCCUGGUAGUCCACGCCCUAAACGAUGUGCACUGGAUCCGGGAGGUUCUGACACCAUCCGGAUCGAAGCAAAAGUGUUAAGUGCACCGCCUGGGGAGUACGGUCGCAAGGCUAAAACUCAAAGGAAUUGACGGGGGCUCACACAAGCGGUGGAGCAUGUGGCUUAAUUCGAAGCAACGCGAAGAACCUUAUCCAGGGUUUGACAUGCACGGAUUAACGCUUGGAAACAAGCGCCACGCUCUUUGAGUGGAACGUGCACAGGUGCUGCAUGGCUGUCGUCAGCUCGUGUCG
rnacentral:rRNA from 1 species